rnacentral:rRNA from 1 species
UCCAGACUCCUACGGGAGGCAGCAGUGGGGAAUAUUGCACAAUGGGGGAAACCCUGAUGCAGCGACGCCGCGUGAGCGAUGAAGUAUUUCGGUAUGUAAAGCUCUAUCAGCAGGGAAGAAAAUGACGGUACCUGACUAAGAAGCCCCGGCUAACUACGUGCCAGCAGCCGCGGUAAUACGUAGGGGGCAAGCGUUAUCCGGAUUUACUGGGUGUAAAGGGAGCGUAGACGGCGGUGCAAGCCAGGGGUGAAAGCCCGGGGCCCAACCCCGGGACUGCCCUUGGAACUGCUUGGCUGGAGUGCGGGAGGGGCAGGCGGAAUUCCUAGUGUAGCGGUGAAAUGCGUAGAUAUUAGGAGGAACACCAGCGGCGAAGGCGGCUUACUGGACCGUGACUGACGUUGAGGCUCGAAAGCGUGGGGAGCAAACAGGAUUAGAUACCCCUGUA